GCCUUGGUUGCAGUGGUCAGCCCGUACCUCCGGAAAAGGUGAGAUGCGGGUUCAAGUCCUGCCCGAGUCA